CCUACGGGUAGCAGCAGUGGGGAAUAUUGGACAAUGGGCGAAAGCCUGAUCCAGCCAUGCCGCGUGUGUGAAGAAGGCCUUCGGGUUGUAAAGCACUUUCAGUGGGGAAGAAAGCCUUGGGGCUAAUACCCUCGAGGAAGGACAUCACCCACAGAAGAAGCACCGGCUAACUCCGUGCCAGCAGCCGCGGUAAUACGGAGGGUGCGAGCGUUAAUCGGAAUUACUGGGCGUAAAGCGCGCGUAGGCGGUCUGAUAAGCCGGUUGUGAAAGCCCCGGGCUCAACCUGGGAACGGCAUCCGGAACUGUCAGGCUAGAGUGCAGGAGAGGAAGGUAGAAUUCCCGGUGUAGCGGUGAAAUGCGUAGAGAUCGGGAGGAAUACCAGUGGCGAAGGCGGCCUUCUGGACUGACACUGACGCUGAGGUGCGAAAGCGUGGGUAGCAAACAGGAUUAGAACCCCGGUAGUC
rnacentral:rRNA from 1 species